UGCCACUCUGCUCAGAUCUUACUUAG
rnacentral:piRNA from 1 species